UUUUAUGUAGGUGUAUCUAACAAGAAUACCAGAAGAUAAUUAUCUUUCCAGUGCUGAGGAAAAUACUUUCUUAAAAAUGUCUUUAAUAUGUUUAUCUUUGUCCUUGAAAUUAGUCAUUAGGAAUGAAUUUCCUUUUCCUCUGCUCCUCAGUAUUCUGUUCUUAAUUUGGCUCUUGGCUAUACUGGAAGAAUAUAAUAUGCAUUGGUAGCCAUGCUGUACAAUUAAUGCAAACAAAUAAUUGCUAUCUUCUUCAAUUCAAGACUUCUCGUGGGAUUGAUGCUGAGAAGGUGAAUCUGGUUGUAAAUCUGGAUGUACCAUUGGAUUGGGAGACAUACAUGCAUCGGAUUGGGAGAGCUGGCCGUUUUGGUACAUUGGGGCUGACAGUGACCUACUGUUGCCGGGGAGAGGAAGAAAAUAUGAUGAUGAGAAUUGCCCAGAAAUGUAAUAUCAACCUUCUCCCUUUACCAGAUCCCAUUCCUUCUGGUCUGAUGGAAGAAUGUGUGGAUUGGGAUGUGGAGGUUAAAGCUGCUGUGCAUACAUAUGGCAUAGCAAGUGUACCUAA
rnacentral:sRNA from 1 species